GACGAACGCUGGCGGCGUGCUUAACACAUGCAAGUCGAACGGAAAGGCCCUGCCUUUGUGGGGUGCUCGAGUGGCGAACGGGUGAGUAACACGUGAGUAACCUGCCCUUGACUUUGGGAUAACUUCAGGAAACUGGGGCUAAUACCGGAUAGGAGCUCCUGCUGCAUGGUGGGGGUUGGAAAGUUUCGGCGGCUGGGGAUGGACUCGCGGCUUAUCAGCUUGAUGGUGGGGUAGUGGCUUACCAAGGCUUUGACGGGUAGCCGGCCUGGGAGGGUGACCGGCCACAUUGGGACUGAGAUACGGCCCGGACUCCUACGGGAGGCAGCAGUGGGGAAUAUUGCACAAUGGGCGGAAGCAGGAUGCAGCAACUCCGCGUGCGGGAUGACGGCCUUCGGGUUGUAACCCGCUUUCGCCUGUGACGAAGCGUGAGUGACGGUAAUGUGUAAAGAAGCACCGGCUAACUACGUG
rnacentral:rRNA from 1 species